rnacentral:rRNA from 1 species
CCUACGGGAGGCAGCAGUGGGGAAUAUUGCACAAUGGGCGAAAGCCUGAUGCAGCGACGCCGCGUGAGGGAUGACGGCCUUCGGGUUGUAAACCUCUUUCAGCAGGGAAGAAGCGCAAGUGACGGUACCUGCAGAAGAAGCACCGGCUAACUACGUGCCAGCAGCCGCGGUAAUACGUAGGGUGCGAGCGUUGUCCGGAAUUAUUGGGCGUAAAGAGCUCGUAGGCGGUCUGUCACGUCGGAUGUGAAAGCCCGGGGCUUAACCCCGGGUCUGCAUUCGAUACGGGCAGACUAGAGUGUGGUAGGGGAGAUCGGAAUUCCUGGUGUAGCGGUGAAAUGCGCAGAUAUCAGGAGGAACACCGGUGGCGAAGGCGGAUCUCUGGGCCAUUACUGACGCUGAGGAGCGAAAGCGUGGGGAGCGAACAGGAUUAGAUACCCUGGUAGUCCACGCCGUAAACGUUGGGAACUAGGUGUUGGCGACAUUCCACGUCGUCGGUGCGCAGCUAACGCAUAAGUUCCCGCCUCGGGAGUACGGCCGCAAGGCGUAAACUCAAAUGAAUUGACGGCGUUGAGACGUUGCGACGACGACGACGAGGGAGGAGG